GACGAACGCUGGCGGCGUGCCUAACACAUGCAAGUCGAACGAGUGGCGAACGGGUGAGUACUACGUGAGAACCCUGCCCUCUCUUUGGGUUAAGACUUGGAAACGGGGUCUAAUACUGGAUAACGGGUUAUGGGCUCGCGGCUUAUCAGCGUGUUGGUGCGGUGAAGGCCUACCAAGGCGGUGACGGGUAGCCGGCGUGAGCGGGUGACCGGCGACAGUGGGACUGGGAAACGGCCCAGACUCCUACGGGGGGCAGCAGUGGGGGAUAUUGCACAAUGUGCGAAAGCCUGAUGCAGCGACGCCGAGUGAGGGAUGAAGGCUUUAGGGUUGUAAACCUCUUUCGCUAUCGAACGGGUAGGUGGAGAAGAAGCGCCGGCUAACUACGUGCCAGCAGCCGCGGUAAUAC
rnacentral:rRNA from 1 species